rnacentral:rRNA from 1 species
UACGUAGGGUGCGAGCGUUGUCCGGAAUUACUGGGCGUAAAGAGCUCGUAGGUGGUUUGUCGCGUUGUCCGUGAAAACUCACAACUCAAUUGUGGGCGUGCGGGCGAUACGGGCAGACUGGAGUACUGCAGGGGAGACUGGAAUUCCUGGUGUAGCGGUGGAAUGCGCAGAUAUCAGGAGGAACACCGGUGGCGAAGGCGGGUCUCUGGGCAACUCCUGACGCUGAGGCGCGAAAGCGUGGGGAGCAAACGGG